AAUUUUCCAAGGAAUUAUGAAAGAAAGACGCUAUUGAUUAGAAUAUCAAGAGACAAGCAUAAACUGUGCAUAACGAGUUUGGUAAACAAUAUAAAAGGGGUCGAAAGAAGAAGGGUUGCUGCCCUUGGGAUAAAAGGGGUUCGCGGUCUGACCCGACAGAUACUUUGACGUCUUUCUCCAUAAAACACAAUGUUAAUUAACGAACAGGAGACGCCCUCUCGCGGAGAUCCCUGGCUACAUUCGCGAUUCUCAAUCAACGACGGUAUUCAUGAGCCUACCACGACGCUCAGACGCACGACUAAAUUAUGCAAACUAAGUAUAGAACGUUUUAUGAACGAAAAUAUCAAGAUGCCUUUGCGAAACGGUUUUUCACUGUCUCUACUAAAUGUACACUGUUUGUUCGAGUUUGAAAAGAAAUUUGGUUUUACAAAUUGGUUUUGCUUCGAUCGUUGAAUACGAUUAUCGAUGCAGAGAAAUUUUGAUCAUUUCAGAGAACUCGUCCAGAUAGAAUCAUUUUGUUCGAGUUAACCAUCGUAAUAGUCUAUAUGUAUAUCGACAACUCGAUACCAGGAAAAGUAGUUGGAAAAUACAGGUUAGGAAUUGGGUUGACACAGAUGAAUAAUAUAUCUUGAUGAUUUCAUUUCUCGUUUUGCUUCGAAGAAUUUUGUUUCAGGAGAAUUUCGAUCAGGAUCAAGAGACAUGGACACACGUGAAUUUCAUCAUAAAUUGGCAAGAUGUUCAAGAAGUCUAUAAUUAACGCGAUUAAUUGGCAAAACUGGAUGCAUAACGUACAUCUUAUCCCAUGUAAUCGUUUUGUCAAGAGGAACAAAGACAGAGAAAUCUCAAAAUGAAGCUCGUACAAAGCGAAGGACGUACACGAUAAUUUCACCCGUAUGCGCAAUCUUAUCCAUGAUAUCGACGUCUCCGUACAGGUGAAUUCACUCUGAUUACAGAUUCAGCCAACCUGAAAAUUACGCGGUCGAUUCUCCGUGACGAGCAAGAGAAUGAGAGAGAGAGAGAUAGAGAGAGAGAAAAGAAGGUGAUGAAGUCGAAUCAGGUAUUCAUGAGAAAGAGAGAGAUUGAUAAACAACAUCACGUAAUUUCGCUUAUAAGAUCAAAUUACAGUCGGCGUCGAAUUAAAGACCGUUCAUUUUCUGCCUGUUUAUUCGCGAUUCAUUCGUAAAAUGUGUAUUAUAGUCUUGAAUCGAACCGAUUUACGUCGAUUCGCGUCAUGUUUUUAAUGCUAUAACUUGAACGAGCGUCGUUUAAGGUGGAAUUACUAAAAGGAAAAUAAGAUCUUGCACUCUCUUCGAUUAACGCGAUCAAUAAUUCUUAUUAGGAAUUUUGAGGAAUUCAUUCGGAAAUUGAAACGUUUUUGUUUUUCAAUAAAAUUUUUUAUAUAGAUAUAAUAUAGAGAUAGUUUUAUAUUAUUG